rnacentral:rRNA from 1 species
GGCUCAGAUUGAACGCUGGCGGCAUGCCUUACACAUGCAAGUCGAACGGUAACAGGCCGCAAGGUGCUGACGAGUGGCGAACGGGUGAGUAAUACAUCGGAACGUGCCCGAGAGUGGGGGAUAACGGAGCGAAAGCUUUGCUAAUACCGCAUACGAUCUACGGAUGAAAGCAGGGGACCGCAAGGCCUUGCGCUCAUGGAGCGGCCGAUGGCAGAUUAGGUAGUUGGUGGGAUAAAGCUUACCAAGCCGACGAUCUGUAGCUGGUCUGAGAGGACGACCAGCCACACUGGGACUGAGACACGGCCCAGGACUCCUACGGGAGGCAGCAGUGGGGAAUUUUGGACAAUGGGCGAAAGCCUGAUCCAGCCAUGCCGCGUGCAGGAUGAAGGCCUUCGGGUUGUAAACUGCUUUGUACGGAACGAAAAGACUCUGGUUAAUACCUGGGGGUCCAUGACGGUACCGUAAGAAUAAGCACCGGCUAACUACGUG